CGUGGGUAAUCUACCCUCAGGUUCGGGACAACUCCGGGAAACUGGAGCUAAUACCGGAUAAGCCCCCAGGGUUUUCGGACCCAGUGGGAAAAGGUGGCCUCUUCAUGAAUGCUGCCGCCUGCUGAUGAGCCCGCGUCCCAUUAGCUUGUUGGUGAGGUAACGGCUCACCAAGGCUUCGAUGGGUAGCUGGUCUGAGAGGAUGAUCAGCCACACUGGAACUGAGACACGGUCCAG
rnacentral:rRNA from 1 species